ensembl:lncRNA MIR7515HG MIR7515 host gene
UUGACAGUUUGGCUUCCCUGUUCUGGGUGGCAAAGCCUGUGGAGUACUCACCUACCUGCUGCAUGAAGGCAGCAUGGAGGGACUGUGGUGGAUUAUCUGCAAAGAUGGCCAAAAUUCUCUCAUCCCUGCAGGCACAUACAAGAAUGAGGAAGAAAGAUGAAGAAUGAGGAGGAAGAAGGAAGGAACGAGAGAGAGGUUUCCAGAAGUUCCCCAGUCAUUGAGCAUUUCUGAGGCUCUUGAUGCAUAUGCCAAGUAGUUAUGGAGAAAGACACAGCAGCUUACCUCUGCAGGCAUCAUUGUGUGAAAGGAAGACCCAGGCUCUCUCACCACCCUUGAACAGAAGCCUUUUGCUAAGGUGAUAGCUACAUGUCCAAGCCUAUUGCGUGGCAUGCAUUUUGCCUUCUGCAGCCCACUAAAGGAAAUUGAAGUAUACAGAAUGCUUAUUUGGUCUACUCAGUAUCAUCCUAAAUGUAUGUACCAAUGCUUAGGAGUUUGCAGUUCACCCGCAAACCUCAGCGAUCCAAGCUCCCCUGGAUGACCAUCACUCACCAAGAAAAGAGCAAUAACAGGACCUGUUUUGCUAAUCCAGGACUGUUCUCCAGCACUAACUCUAAAUAAUCCCUUCUGCUAGAGUCCACUUUCUGGAACCUGUUGCCUCCGUUUUCAACGUUUCCCAAACUUGGUCCGUUGUGUGAGCUGGCUGAUAAAAGUUCCAGGGAGAAGACAUCUUACUCUUAUUGGAUCAUGCACAGUGCCUGAAGCAUUCUGUUGCAUGUAGAAGUCAGUAAAUUGCAGAUGUAAGAUUCAAAACCAGACUUCACAUCUACCGACUUCAGUGACCCUGAAAUUUGUUCACAGAGAGCAUUUAACAUAACUGUCUUCAUCAUCUCCUUCUCUACAUUAAAAAUUAUGGAGGCCUUACAAACUGGUAGAAGAUGCAUAACAGAAGAGCUUAUGAAGUUAAAGAUGACAGCAUAGCAGCACUGUUCACAAAGACGUUAUUGGUGAUUCAAUCUUGAGUCAUGAAAAGUCAACCUUGAGCCACAAAAAGUCAACCUUGAGCCAAGCAGAUUGGAGAGUCAUACAUGCCAUUCCUGGGACCAUCAAAAAUGGCAGAGGUCACACAAAAAGGCAAAACUUUUAAGAGGUGUUUUAAACGUCGUAUGGGCCAAAGAGAAGCUGGAUUUCCUAUUGGAGUCACCUGUAACACACGUGUGACGAAAUUGGCCUGUGAGGACAAGGCAGUGAGCAGAGAGGACAGCAGUCCUUAUGAGAUCAAGCUCUAAGGUAUCCUAGACACAUUUGGAGAAUUCACCUGAGCUACAGGAUGUGUCUUGCUCUGUCACCCAGGCCUGGAGUGCAGUGGAGCAAUCUCAGCUCACUGCAGCCUCCGCCUCCCGGAUUCAAGUGAUUCUCCUGCUUCAGAUUCUCGAGUAGCUGGGAUUACAGUUUUGAGAAGAAUGCGAAGAAGAAAGGAAGAGUGAGCCUCUCUUUCCCAUCGUUACCCUCCAUUGUCCUCUUGACACCCUGCUUUCACAGAGAAAGAGUUUGAGACCCUCUCCCAGGAGCCAAGGAGAGGGGAACAGCUGGCUUCACAUCAUCUUUCUAUUCAACAAGAUACAAAAAGCUGAAGCCAGGAUGAUAGAAAAGCAACAAAGAAGACACGGUCCUUACUCAUUUCCCUUCCCACUUCAGAGCAAAUGUGAGAAAAGAUUUCAUGCAAUGCUUUAGAGAGGGGAUGCCUCAGACAAUCGGUCAUCAGUGAGGAAGAACUGAAGCAAAACCUGCUGAGCUGUGAGGCUGACUUGCUUCUCAGGCAGCGCUGGGAUGAUGUAUUGUCCUUCCUGACUUGUGACAAAGAGAACUAUUCGGUGCUGGGGUUGAGCUAGGGAUAUGAUAGAUAUCUUUAAUUAUAUGAUAAUCAGAGAUGAGCUAAUUAGAUAUCACUUGAUAACUGAUCAGUGGCAGCAUUCAUAUAACUGUUUCUCAUUUCCUCCUCACAUCAAUUUAACAGAUGGUGCCUGGUGUUCGAAGGGAGAACUUGUGGGCAGAGCAGGAAGCGUGAGUAUGGUUGAAGGAUCAAAUAUUUGGUUCAGGCAUCAGGGAGCCAGCAAGACUAUGAUGCUGGGAAACACAAGUGAUGUACUGUUGGAUUUAAUCUACUUGGAAAAAACCUAGGAAAACCAAAAUGUCAUCAACUAACACCUGAAAUGCCUCAGCACCAUCUGUCUCCAACAUUAAACAAAACCCACGAGAUUCCAGGAGAAAGAAAAUAGGAAAUUUAAUGAUGAACUUAACCUGAGUAACUUGAUAAAUGUUACCUUUGUGGCUAGCCAUUCACCAGCAAGUCCCUAAAAUGACCUGAAACCUGAAGAGUGUUUCACCCAUGAAAGGGUUUGCUCUCUCUGGGCAUGGCUACCCAGCACAUAUGUUAGUCAACUUUCUUUCCCUUGCAGGGCCCCUUGGAAAACUAGUUUGAAUCAUUCAUUAACUCAGCUCCACUCCUUCCCUUUCCCAUGGACCAUAGUUUCUUUGAGCAAUUAAAACUUAUAAGACACCAAAA